rnacentral:rRNA from 1 species
AUAUCAGGAAGAACAUCCGUGGCGAAGGCGAGCUUCUGGCCAGAAACUGACGCUGAGGCGCGAAAGCGUGGGGACCGAACAGGAUUAGAUACCCUGGUAGUCCACGCUGUAAACGAUGUGCACUAGGUGUUGGCUGUGAUAACGGUCAGUGCCGAAGCAAACGCGAUAAGUGCACCGCCUGGGGAGUAUGCUCGCAAGGGUGAAACUCAAAGGAAUUGACGGGGGCCCGCACAAGCGGUGGAGCAUGUGGUUUAAUUCGAUGAUACGCGAGGAACCUUACCAGGGUUUGACAUAUGGCGGACUGCGGCAGAGAUGUCGCUUCCCUUCGGGGCCGUCAUGCAGGUGCUGCAUGGCUGUCGUCAGCUCGUGCUGUGAGGUGUUGGGUUAAGUCCCGCAACGAGCGCAACCCCUGCUGUCUGUUACCAGCACGUAAUGGUGGGGACUCAGGCGGUACUGCCGGUGACAAACCGGAGGACCCUGGGGACGACGUCAAGUCAUCAUGGCCCUUAUGUCCUGGGCUACACACGUGCUACAAUGGCCGGUACAGAGUGCAGCGAAACCGCGAGGUGGAGCAAAUCACAGAAAGCCGGUCUCAGUACGGAUUGGAGUCUGAAACCCGACUUCAUGAAGCUGGAAUCGCUAGUAAUCGCGCAUCAGCAUGGCGCGCCGAAUACGUUCCCGGGCAUUGUACACACCGCCCGUCACACCACCCGAGUUGGGGGUACCCGAAGUCGCUUGUAUA